rnacentral:misc_RNA from 1 species
GAUGAAGAACGUAGUGAAAUGCGAUAAGUAAUGUGAAUUGCAGAAUUCCGUGAAUCAUCGAAUCUUUGAACGCACAUUGCGCCCCCUGGUAUUCCGGGGGGCAUGCCUGUCCGAGCGUCAUUGCAACCUUCAAGCGCGGCUUGUGUGUUGGGUCUCGUCCCCCGUGGACGGGCCCGAAAGGCAGUGGCGGCGUCCCGACAUGGUGCCCGAGCGUAUGGGAAUCCUCUUCCGCUCGAAUCGGCCCAUGCGGCGCUGGUCGUAACCAAAUUUUUUACCGGUUGACCUCGGAUCAGGUAGGGAUACCCGCUGAACUUAAGCAUAUCAAUAGCGGAGGA